AUGACAGCUAGAGGUUAUCACCAGCUGCUUCAUCUACUGAGGAUUUUUUUUUUCUUUUUUUUUUUUUUUGUGUUUCAGAAGCCGUGUGCCCUCAGGAACCAGUGGAGACUAAUAUCCCUGACAUUUGUUCCUCAAGACAUGAUUUUUCUCAGGAUCAUUCUGUCUGCAACUUCAAGAGCAGAGAUGAUGGUAUCCUAUGAAGAGCAAGACUCUGGAAAAAGUUACAUCUGAACUUGACUCCCAUUUCUGAGUCUUUACCUGCUACUUAUUCUUGGGCAUGUUUCUUCAACUCUUCUAAUCUUCAAAUUUCAUUAUCUGCAAUUUGGAGAGGGUAAGGACUACCUCUUUGUUCUAAGUAAAGCUGCUUAAGCACAAAGAACAGUGCCUAAGCAGAGAAAGAACUCCUUAAGCCUUAGUUUCAUAUCAUAUCCAAUUUAAAUUGCUGAUAACUAUACAGGAAUGUCUGCUGAAUCGAAGUGACUCCUGCAAUUCAAAGCCCAGAUACUGAGAAACUUUUCAAAGCCUUUAUUGAUGUAACAAUGUCACAGUGAUCUCUUCCUUGCAGCACUUAUUACCCAUCUCCCCCACACAGCGUAGUAGGCACGUAGCCCAUGUAUUGUGUAUUGCCUUUUAGAUGGUGUUCUCUGAUAGAGUAUAAGAUCUAAUACGUGAUUAUUAUUUCUACUGAUUAUUAUUAUUAUUAUUAUUAUUAUUUUUAAUUUAUGAUAGUCACAGAGAGAGAGAGGGAGAGAGAGAGAGGCAGAGACACAGGCAGAGGGAGAAGCAGGCUCCAUGCACCGGGAGCCCGAUGUGGGAUUCGAUCCCAGGUCUCCAGGAUCGCGCCCUGGGCCAAAGGCAGGCGCCAAACCGCUGCGCCACCCAGGGAUCCCUAUUUCUACUGAUUAUUAUUCAUCUUCCUGGUAUCCCAGUGUUUUUCAUAGAGAAUUUAAAUAUUUUUGACAAAAUAUUGUAGAGACCGAAUUCAUGAUUUUAAAUACGCCAAAAGUCACCUACCUAUCAGUUUCAAAUAAAAAAUAUUUUCUAAUUGAAACA
rnacentral:lncRNA from 12 species